ACUCCCUUGCGCUUCAGGCGCCAUCGUAUGUGUGGGCAAAAUACCCAUCCUGUCCAUAUGAUGACUAGGACGAGAAAGUUUGAGAUGGGCGUAUGCCUAAGCAUUUCCUUUAUUGGUGUUAUCCCAAGGGAUAGGCGGGAUUUGUCUGUUCGUCAGGGGAUGCCCAUAGAAAGAAGACGUGCAAAGAGGAUACAUAAAGGAGUUCUUAAAAUCCAUCCAUUGACUGAAGACUAAAGAUGCCACUGAAUUAGCUGUGCUGCUCUUGGACCUCUGUAACAUUAAAUGAGAUUUGAAACACCCAUAUCUGUUACUGCUAUGUCAUUAUAUUUCUGACUAAUAAAAUUUCAAAUUUCAA